GACGAACGCUGGCGGCGUGCUUAACACAUGCAAGUCGAACGGAAAGGCCCCUUUGGGGGUACUCGAGUGGCGAACGGGUGCGUAACACGUGAGUAACCUGCCCUUGACUUCGGGAUAACUUCAGGAAACUGGGGCUAAUACCGGAUAGGAAUCCUUGCUGCAUGGUGGGGGUUGGAAAGCUUCGGCGGUUUUGGCUGGACUCGCGGCUUAUCAGCUUGUUGGUGGGGUAGUGGCUUACCAAGGCUUUGACGGGUAGCCGGCCUGAGAGGGCGACCGGCCACACUGGGACUGAGAUACGGCCCAGACUCCUACGGGAGGGAGAAGGGGGGAAGAUUGCACAAUGGGCGGAAGCCUGAUGCAGCAACGCCGCGGGCGGGAUGACGGCCUUCGGGUUGUAAACCGCGUUCAGCAGGGGCGAAGCUUGUGGUGACGGUACCUGCAGAAGAAGCACCGGCUAACUACGUG
rnacentral:rRNA from 1 species